rnacentral:sRNA from 13 species
AUCGUUUGGUUCGGCUGAGUUCGUGGUAAACUUAACUGAAUGUGACGCUAGCUGGUGUUUGUCGAAAGUAGAAUAGAAGAAUCUCACACCAUGUCGAAUGUUACAUGUGAUAAGCCUGCUAUUCUACUUGCCAAUCCACACCGAUCAGAAGGACGACACUUUAAUCCGAGCACAUUCGCUGCAAUCACAGGCAAUAUCUUAUGUGUGUGUGUGUGUGUGUGGAGUAGAUAACUGGAUUUGGAUUGGCCGCUGUUAUCGAUAGUGAGAAGCGUAUCACAUACAUACAUGUAUAUGGGCAUAGAUAUGACGACCUCAUGCUGAAUGUGGCAUGGAUAAACACAGCCAAGUGAAUAAAGCUAAAGGCUCCAAAUAAAUGUGACACAUCAAGCGAACAGGUAUUUAUACAAAUCUACAUUUAUUAAAGGUGAUCUCUUCACAGGCUGUCUAUUAGAAUGCUUGUUCAGCCAAUGUCCAGUUUAGCUCGCCGAUUUGAAGACUACAUCGAAAACGACGAAACUAAACAAACAGAACGAGCAAACAACAAACAGAAAUUGUGUAAAAGGUCGUCAAACGUGUCGUUGGCACAUCGUUGAUAAGAAAACCCAAAUGCAGACCAUAUACACAACAUACAUAGUUUAUACAUACAUACUAUGUACUCUGCCCGGCGUGGUUGGUAUCAAUAAAUGCUUCUACUGCGGCAGUUACCAGCACAUUGAGUCAGAUAAGAUAUAGAAAUUAACUGUGAUAAAUGACAAUCAGGUGAAGAAUUCAGGGAGCUAGCAACAAUAUCGGAAAAUUUAGCUCAUGGGAUAAUCAAAUAUUGUAAAUUAGAAAAUAAUAAUCGAAAUUGAACGAACUCAAUUCCAUUGAUGACAUUGUGUGUCGAUGAUGGAAUAACUUAUCAGUAAGAUCAAUCAAAAUCGAUAGUUUCCCGUCGACUGGCAGAAGUCGAAGUAAAUUAGUCGAAUCUUAUAAGAUAUACAUAUAAGUAAAAAUGCUUUAGACGAUAAGCUUUCGUACUCCAUAAUAAAU